AAGAGUCAUACGUGCGGCCGAGUUUACUUGGUCGCCGUAACACUCCACCCUUUGUUUACAUAUCUUUGUUGCUUUGGCAGGCCCGCUCUCGGGCCACCGGCUUCGGCUGGUCAGCGCCUGCCAGAGGACCACAACUCUUGUUUUUAGUGAUGUCUGAGUACUAUAUAAUAGUUA
rnacentral:misc_RNA from 1 species